rnacentral:rRNA from 1 species
GAUCCUGGCUCAGGAUGAACGCUGGCGGCGUGCUUAACACAUGCAAGUCGAACGAAGCACUUUAAUUGAUUUCUUCGGAAUGAAGUUUUUGUGACUGAGUGGCGGACGGGUGAGUAACGCGUGGGUAACCUGCCUCAUACAGGGGGAUAACAGUUGGAAACGACUACUAAUACCGCAUAAGCGCACAGGAUUGCAUGAUCCAGUGCGAAAAACUCCGGUGGUAUGAGAUGGACCCGCGU